AUUGAACGCUGGCGGCAUGCCUUACACAUGCAAGUCGAACGGCAGCACGGGAGCAAUCCUGGUGGCGAGUGGCGAACGGGUGAGUAAUAUAUCGGAACGUGCCCAGUCGUGGGGAUAACGUAGCGAAAGCUACGCUAAUACCGCAUACGAUCUAUGGAUGAAAGCGGGGGGAUCGCAAGACCUCGCGCGAUUGGAGCGGCCGAUAUCAGAUUAGGUAGUUGGUGAGGUAAAGGCUCACCAAGCCGACGAUCUGUAGCUGGUCUGAGAGGACGACCAGCCACACUGGGACUGAGACACGGCCAGACUCCUACGGGAGGCAGCAGUGGGGAAUUUUGGACAAUGGGCGCAAGCCUGAUCCAGCAAUGCCGCGUGCAGGAUGAAGGCCUCGGUUGUAACUGUCUUUGUUACCGGAACGGUAAACCGGUA
rnacentral:rRNA from 1 species